rnacentral:rRNA from 1 species
AAACGAUUGAAGUCAGUCGUGUCUGUUGGUUUCAGCCGGUUCUGCCGGUGUAUUACCAACAGACGGGUCAACAUCAGUUUUGAGCGGUGGAAAAAGGUAGAGGGAACGUAGCUCCUCCGGGAGUGUUAUAGCCCUUUAUUGCAUACACUGCUUGAGACUGAGGAAUGCAGCUCGCCUUUAUGGCCGGGGUUCGCCCACGUUCGAGCUUAGGAUGUUGACAUAAUGGCUUUAAACGA